rnacentral:snoRNA from 1 species
CCCAUCGAUGAAGAAUCACUCAUCUCCUACAUCCUGGCGGGACUCGACAUCGACUACAACCCACUGGUAUCUAGUGUUGUUGGUCGAUCUGAUCCUAUUUCUUAUUUCUUUAAGUGAUUUGUAUGCCCAGAUGGUCAGCUAUGACA